UACGAAGGGGGCUAGCGUUGUUCGGAAUCACUGGGCGUAAAGCGCGCGUAGGCGGAUUGUUAAGUCAGGGGUGAAAUGCCGAGGCUCAACCUCGGAACUGCCUUUGAUACUGGCAAUCUUGAGUCCGGGAGGGGUGAGUGGAACUCCUAGUGUAGAGGUGAAAUUCGUAGAUAUUAGGAAGAACACCAGUGGCGAAGGCGGCUCACUGGCCCGGAACUGACGCUGAUGUGCGAAAGCGUGGGGAGCAAACAGG
rnacentral:rRNA from 1 species